rnacentral:rRNA from 1 species
ACUCAAAGGAAUUGACGGGGGCCCGCACAAGCGGUGGAGCAUGUGGUUUAAUUCGAAGCAACGCGAAGAACCUUACCAGGUCUUGACAUCCUUUGACCACUCUGGAGACAGAGUCUUCCCUUCGGGGACAAAGUGACAGGUGGUGCAUGGUUGUCGUCAGCUCGUGUCGUGAGAUGUUGGGUUAAGUCCCGCAACGAGCGCAACCCUUAUUGUUAGUUGCCAUCAUUCAGUUGGGCACUCUAGCGAGACUGCCGGUGACAAACCGGAGGAAGGUGGGGAUGACGUCAAAUCAUCAUGCCCCUUAUGACCUGGGCUACACACGUGCUACAAUGGACAGUACAAUGAGUUGCGAGACCGCGAGGUUUAGCUAAUCUCUUAAAGCUGUUCUCAGUUCGGAUUGCAGGCUGCAACUCGCCUGCAUGAAGUCGGAAUCGCUAGUAAUCGUGGAUCAGCACGCCACGGUGAAUACGUUCCCGGGCCUUGUACACACCGCCCGU